ensembl:lncRNA
GUUUCGGGCAGUGAAACUACUCUAUGUGAUGCUAUAAUGAUAGAUACACACAGUCACACGCUUGUCCCAACCCAUGGAGGCCACAGCGCCAGGAGUGAGCCCUGACGGAAGCUGUGGACCCUGGGUGGUGAUGGUGCAUCCGUCGGUUCAUCAGUCACAGCAAAUGUGCCAUCUGGUGGGGAUGUUGACGAUGGGGGAGGUGAUGCCUCGGUCGGACAGGGGAUAUCUGGGAAUCUGUACCUUCCUCUCAAUUCUGCUGUGAAUCUAAGGUUGCAAUUUAAAAGCACUCCGUUGUUUUAAAUCUCAAUUAUCCUCUCUUCUCAGCCAUGAGCCAAAACCUACUUUUAUCUCUCAGAACAUUUCAUCAAGCACCUAUCUGUGCCAGGCCCCUCGCCAAGCGCUGGAAACACAAGGUCCAGCUCUGGAGUGUGCAGUCCGGUGAAGACAGCGGCACAAAAGGCAGAGGGCGUGUCUCCCUCGCGGGCUGCGGGCGUCAGACACAGCCCACCUGUGAGGAGCUCAGCACAGUUUUCAACCCGAUAAGUACAUGGGAUCCUAGUUCCCCGACCAGGGAUCAAACCCAUGCCCCCUGCAUGGGAAGCAUGGAGUCUUAACCACAGGACCAUCAGGGAGGUCCCCUAUACAGCUUUUCACCAAGUAUUUGGCACAGAUGAAAACACAAGGAGGAAUGACACGCGGCUGCCCCAUAAUUGUGGGGCCUUCUCCAGUGGACCAUGAUCUAUUUACUGAGAAUUUUUU